rnacentral:rRNA from 1 species
CAGCCGCGGUAAUACGUAGGGGGCUAGCGUUGUCCGGAAUCAUUGGGCGUAAAGAGCGUGUAGGCGGCUUGGUAAGUCCGCUGUGAAAGUCCAGGGCUCAACCCUGGAAUGCCAGUGGAAACUUCCGAGCUAGAGUCCGGAAGAGGCGAGUGGAAUUCCUGGUGUAGCGGUGAAAUGCGCAGAUAUCAGGAGGAACACCAAUGGCGAAGGCAGCUCGCUGGGACGGUACUGACGCUGAGACGCGAAAGCGUGGGGAGCAAACAGGAUUAGAUACCCUGGUAGUCCACGCUGUAAACGAUGGGCACUAGGUGUGGGGGGUGUCGACUCCCUCCGUGCCGACGCUAACGCAUUAA